UACGUAGGGGGCGAGCGUUGUCCGGAUUUAUUGGGCGUAAAGAGCGUGUAGGCGGCCAGGUAGGUCUGGUGUGAAAACUCGAGGCUUAACCUUGAGAUGUCAUCGGAAACCAUUUGGCUAGAGUCCGGAAGAGGAAAGUGGAAUUCCUGGUGUAGCGGUGAAAUGCGCAGAUAUCAGGAAGAACACCAAUGGCGAAAGCAGCUUUCUGGGACGGUACUGACGCUGAGACGCGAAAGCGUGGGGAGCGAACAGG
rnacentral:rRNA from 1 species